UGCAAGUCGAGCGGUCCUUCGGGACAGCGGCGAACGGGUUAGUAACGCGUGGGAACGUGCCCUUUAGUACGGAAUAGCCAUUGGAAACGAUGAUUAAUACCGUAUACGCCCCAAGGGGGAAAGAUUUAUCGCUAAAGGAUCGGCCCGCGUUAGAUUAGGUAGUUGGUAGGGUAAUGGCCUACCAAGCCGACGAUCUAUAGCUGGUUUGAGAGGAUGAUCAGCAACACUGGGACUGAGACACGGCCCAGACUUCUACGGAAGGCAGCAGUAGGGAAUCUUGGACAAUGGGCGAAAGCCUGAUCCAGCCAUGCCGCGUGAGUGAUGAAGGCCCUAGGGUUGUAAAGCUCUUUCGCCAGGGAAGAUAAUGACGGUACCUGGUAAAGAAACCCCGGCUAACUCCGUGCCAGCAGCCGCGGUAAUACGGAGGGGGUUAGCGUUGUUCGGAAUUACUGGGCGUAAAGCGCACGUAGGCGGAUUAAUAAGUCAGGGGUGAAAUCCCGAGGCUCAACCUCGGAACUGCCUUUGAUACUGUUAGUCUUGAGUUCGAGAGAGGUGAGUGGAAUUCCGAGUGUAGAGGUGAAAUUCGUAGAUAUUUCGGAGGAACACCAGUGGCGAAGGCCGGCUCACUGGCUCGAUACUGACGCUGAGGUGCGAAAGCCGUGGGGAGCAAACAGGAUAAGAUACCCUGGUAGUCCACGCCGUAAACGAUGAGAGCUAGUCGUUGGAGAGUUCGCUUCUUCGGUGACGCAGCUAACGCAUUAAGCUCUCCGCCUGGGGAGUACGGUCGCAAGAUUAAAACUCAAAGGA
rnacentral:rRNA from 1 species